GAUGAACGCUGGCGGCGUGCCUAAUACAUGCAAGUCGAGCGAAUGAAUUAAGAGCUUGCUCUUAUGAAGUUAGCGGCGGACGGGUGAGUAACACGUGGGUAACCUGCCCAUAAGACUGGGAUAACUCCGGGAAACCGGGGCUAAUACCGGAUAACAUUUUGAACCGCAUGGUUCGAAAUUGAAAGGCGGCUUCGGCUGUCACUUAUGGAUGGACCCGCGUCGCAUUAGCUAGUUGGGGAGGUAACGGCUCACCAAGGCAACGAUGCGUAGCCGAGCUGAGAGGGUGAUCGGCCACACUGGGACUGAGACACGGCCCAGACUCCUACGGGAGGCAGCAGUAGGGAAUCUUCCGCAAUGGACGAAAGUCUGACGGAGCAACGCCGCGUGAGUGAUGAAGGCUUUCGGGUCGUAAAACUCUGUUGUUAGGGAAGAACAAGUGCUAGUUGAAUAAGCUGGCACCUUGACGGUACCUAACCAGAAAGCCACGGCUAACUACGUGCCAGCCGCCGCCGUAA
rnacentral:rRNA from 1 species